AGCAGCCGCGGUAAUUCCAGCUCCAAUAGCGUAUAUUAAAGUUGUUGCAGUUAAAAAGCUCGUAGUUGAAUUUCGAGACCGGCUUACUGGUCGUGCUUUUGUGCGUACUGGUAUAAUCGGUUUCUCCUUUCUGACGAACUUUAAUGCCAUUAAUUUGGUGUUUUAGGGAAUCAGGACUGUUACUUUGGAAAAAUUAGAGUGUUUAAAGCAGGCUCACGCUUGAAUACAUUAGCAUGGAAUAACGGAAUAGGACGUUUGAUUCUAUUUUGUUGGUUUCUAGGAUCGACGUAAUGAUUAAUAGGGAUAGUUGGGGGCAUUAGUAUUCAAUUGUCAGAGGUGAAAUUCUUGGAUUUAUUGAAGACUAACUACUGCGAAAGCAUUUGCCAAGGAUGUUUUCAUUAAUCAAGAACGAAAGUUAGGGGAUCGAAGACGAUCAGAUACCGUCGUAGU
rnacentral:rRNA from 1 species